rnacentral:rRNA from 1 species
GAGUUUGAUCUUGGCUCAGAACGAACGCUGGCGGCAUGCCUAACACAUGCAAGUCGAACGAGAUCUUCGGAUCUAGUGGCGCACGGGUGCGUAACGCGUGGGAAUCUGCCCUUGGGUGCGGAAUAACUUCUCGAAAGGGAUGCUAAUACCGCAUAAUGUCGUAAGACCAAAGAUUUAUCGCCCAAGGAUGAGCCCGCGUAAGAUUAGCUAGUUGGUGGGGUAAAAGCCUACCAAGGCGACGAUCUUUAGCUGGUCUGAGAGGAUGAUCAGCCACACUGGGACUGAGACACGGCCCAGACUCCUACGGGAGGCAGCAGUGGGGAAUAUUGGACAAUGGGCGAAAGCCUGAUCCAGCAAUGCCGCGUGAGUGAUGAAGGCCCUAGGGUUGUAAAGCUCUUUUACCCGGGAUGAUAAUGACAGUACCGGGAGAAUAAGCUCCGGCUAACUCCGUGCCAGCAGCCGCCGCGGU